GAAAUUGCUUGGGCUUGGGUGUGAGGGCUGUCAGGCUGCAAAAUCUGUCGCCAGUGUUGACUGGGCUGAUCUGGCUGGUGGGGCAGCAGUCCCUUCCUCCCUGCAGCUGCAUGUGUGUCUUUCCAAAGCUGCAUCCUAGUCUCGCAGGAAGACCACUCCACAGAAAGGAGGACUAUUUCCGGUUAAGGCUGUAUUGCCCUGCUACAGUCACCACACAAGCUCUCAAAACACUGCCUGUGAGCCCCCUGUGGUGGUGCAUGCCUGUCUGCCCAGCACUUAGGAGGCUGAGGCAGGCAGACUGCCACAAGCC
rnacentral:snRNA from 1 species